GGAAAAAAGGACUCGAACCUCCAUCUAAGACUCCAAAAAUCUUCGUAUGCCCACCAUACUGCAUCCUA
rnacentral:tRNA from 1 species